rnacentral:rRNA from 1 species
GCAGGCCUAACACAUGCAAGUCGAACGGUAACAGGAAGCAGCUUGCUGCUUCGCUGACGAGUGGCGGACGGGUGAGUAAUGUCUGGGAAGCUGCCUGAUGGAGGGGGAUAACUACUGGAAACGGUAGCUAAUACCGCAUAAUGUCGCAAGACCAAAGAGGGGGACCUUCGGGCCUCUUGCCAUCGGAUGUGCCCAGAUGGGGUUAGCUUGUUGGUGGGGUAACGGCUCACCAAGGCGACGAUCCCUAGCUGGUCUGAGAGGAUGACCAGCCACACUUGAACUGAGACACGGUCCAGACUCCUACGGGAGGCAGCAGUGGGGAAUAUUGCACAAUGGGCGCAAGCCUGAUGCAGCCAUGCCGCGUGUAUGAAGAAGGCCUUCGGGUUGUAAAGUACUUUCAGCGGGGAGGAAGGGAGUAAA